UAAUACCCACAGAUGGAGUGACUCAGACAGGGAAGCUGAACACCUUGCCUCAAAUCCCCAAACAAAACCUGGGCGCACUGAGCGGCCCAGCUGCCGUUUCCUAAGCAAAACCACUACCCUCGAGUUCUACACUUGAGUUGCGUGAAGUCCUCGCUGAUAGCAAGUUCUGCCUCCGGCACGGUGACAAAAACCCUUGCCCUGAAGAGAUGGACUCCACAGUAACACACGUCAACUACAGAGUGAGAGGAGAGCAGGAGGGUGUGUGGAAGGAAGAGCCACAUGGGACAUUCUGGACAAGCAGUGAGGGUGGCAUGCUGUGGGUUGGGGAGUGUGUGACAGCCAUCCCAGCGCUGUCUAGGUCAGUGUGGGCUGCCCCCCUCCCCGUAAGUCUCCACUCAAAAUAGCAUCUGAGCUUGAAGCCUCAGGGACACAGAGUGGCAUUUCUCCACUGAACAGAGCUGGAGGAGGUAGCUGGGUGAACGUGCCAGGAAACAAAGGCCUUUACAUACCCUCGGCCAGUCUCCAACUUGCUACAUAACUGAAGCUGCCCUUCAACUGCGCAUCUUCCUGUCCCCACCUCUGUAACGCCAGGACUACAGGGCAAGGAGAAGGUGCCGUGGGAUUGCCCCCAAAAGAAGCGGUUCAGAACACACACCCACAGAUCAUAAUUUUGAAGCCCAUCAAUGGAAAGAGGUGGCAGAGAGGCAGUGAGGACUACCGCUCAGUGGUAGAUCUCUCUCCAGCUCCCGGUGCAGGCCUGAGGGGUGGGAAGAAGGCCUUCCAAAGCCACUGUAAAAAGCAUGUUGGUGCGCACCCCGGAUCCUCCCCCAAAUGUGAAGUGUUUUGGUGCAGGUUGAUUGCAUUUUGAGUGAUACAAUUGUUUAACAGCGCCACCUCUAGCAGUCACUCACGGAAUUUAUUGUCAUUGAUAAUUAGUGAAGGGGGGACUUUUAUGUUUAGGUUGUUGAGGUAAAAUUUCUCAGGAAAACAUUCUCUAAGGUAUGCUUUUUUGAUUUUGUUUUGUUUUUAUGAUCGAAUCACGAGUCGUUGUGUGUGUCAGGCAUGGGACGUUUGUAUAUCCCUUGGAUGAGACAAGAAAUAAAGUUCCAUAGUAACUCGUCACCGGCAUUUGAUCUUCACGUACAGAGUGUGUCUUUCCAGGUUUCGCUCUCACUGUGCUCACAGAGGAUGCUUCUUUCUGCCCUUGCGGUGGGGAUGCUUUGGGCCUGUGUGGAACGUUCAGGGCAAAGACCCAGCAGCAGCUCCUUAUAGGCAGAGAGCGCUCUCAGCUCUUGGCCACAAAAGAAUAAAUUCCCCACAUUCCAGAGCCAUGUGGAAAUUGUUGCAGCUGUUCAUGUCCUCCAAAGAGGCUCUGCUGGAAGCCCCCCACUCCCGACAAUGAGCCCUCCAUAGCCUCCAUAGUCCCCCGGCCAGCCCACACUCCCAUUACUAACUGGUCCAGGUGAGGCUGUUUGCAAGUGUCUGGAUAGGAGUGUGAAAGGCAGAGGGGCUCACCCCAGCACUGUGGCUUUGCCCUGAAGCUCUGAAGCAAGAAUUCAAAAGGUUAACAAAAAAAGUACCUAGGGCCUCUUGUUCCUAGGAUCACACUACUCACAGAUUAAAAUCUCAAGCGUUGUGUGUGUGUGUGUGUGUGUGUGUGUGUGUGUGUGUGUCAGGGGAAGGGGUUCAUUCUGCCCAGUUGGCAAAUUCGCCUGAGCGUGGUGGUAUCCUGGCAGAAAGAAGUGGCAAGCUUAAAAGUGCUGGGGCUUUUGAUUACUAACAGUAUUGUCUCCCGGCACUCCUACCAGGUGGCAGGCCUUGUAGGAG
rnacentral:sRNA from 1 species